UAUAUCUCGAGAGAUAAUAUUUUAUUUUUAAUAAAAAUACAUUAUUAUAUAAUAUUUUAUCUAUAAAUAUAAAUUAUAAUAUUAAUAUAUAUAAUAUGAUAAUUAUUACAUAUCAAUAACAUAUAUAAUAUAUAAGAAGAGAAAAUAUAUAUAAUAGUUUUUUAUUUAUAAUUUUUACAAAUUUUUUUACUUUCAGUCAAACAACUAUAAUGUAAAAUUACUUUUUUCCCCUCCAAACUAAAUACUAGAGAGCAUAAAAUUUAUUUUCCUCCAAAAAAAAUUUUCUACUGAAAUUUUUUUGACAAUUUUACGUGAAAUCAAAUACACCCAGACUCUUCAAUUUUAACGCCAGUGA
rnacentral:lncRNA from 1 species